rnacentral:rRNA from 1 species
UUAGAUACCCUACUAUACUAAUAAAUACUCAGAUUAGUAACAGUUAUGUUCUUGAAAUUUAAAGAAUUUGGCGGUGAUUUAGUCUUGUUAGAGGAACCUGUUUUAGAAUCGAUACUCCACGUAAAAUCUUACUUGUUUUAUUUUAGUUUAUAUACCGUCAUUAUCAGAUAAUUUUUAAAAAAUUAAUUGUUAAACAUUAAAAGUUAAGUGAAAUUAGAUCCAGGUGUAGCUGAUAAAUAAGUUGAAAUGGGUUACAAUAAAUUUUAUUUAAUACGGAGUAACUAUAGGAAGAAAUGUUUAUGAAGGAGGAUUUAAUUGUAAUGUAAGUUUAAUAAGCUUUAAAGAUAUAAGCUCUAAAUCAUGUACAUAUCGCCCGUCGCUA